AUGUGGAAGGCGCUAUAUAAAUGCAAUUAGUUGCUGCUGUUGUUAUAUUUCAAAUCAUGAAAUGACUUUAAUUACAGAUACAAUUAAGUGGCUUGUAUGUUGCUAUGCAACAGAUCUCUUUGACGACAGUAAUAAAAUGGGUGCGUUGGUCAGAGCUGAAAGGACGACACCAGCUGGUGACUUGUGGACUAACAUGCAGACUGCACAUUAGAUUUGUGACAAUUUUGGAACCUUCCACAAGUAGUGGUGGAUCUUGUGAACAAGAGGAAUAGUGACUAAGGAUGACAUUCAGAUCCAGGGCUCACUUUUGCCUUGUUUUUGUGUACCCAAAACAGAUCCCGCUUAUCACCAAAUAAUUCCUGAUUUAUUCAGGACAUAUCUGUGGGCUCUCCAGCUACUAAUCAGCACACAUUUAUAUCCAAAGGAUGAGCUUGCAUUAUCCAUUUUCCGAGUGCGUGCAGUUAUUUUUGCUACAGAGAAUUAAAUUGUAAGCACAGAGGGGAAAACGUAAGGUGUUAAUGGAGUACUUUAUUCUAAUUAAAACCCAAUUCAAAAUUUAUUGUAAAAAUGUUUUUGUAUGCAGAAAUCAGUUCUAUUGUUUGCUGGUGUUUUUUUUAAAUACUUUCUUUUAGACAAAGUAAUACUUUGUAUGUGAACAGAACAUCAAGUACUGUACACUUCAAAUUGUUAAGAUUGUAGAGAUAAUUGUGUUCAUCUAAUUUUUACUUUUUUUCUGUAUCCUGAUUGUCUGGUUCACAUUUUGUAUUCCAGUAAAAUUAUAACACUAUUAGAAUUUACAGCUGAGUAUUCUAGAAAGCUAUUCCUAGUUGCCUUAUAUUGAACUGAAUCAAAGUUCCUUCCUAAUUCAGUUGCACACUUAGUUCUGAGAUUGUUAUCUCAAAAAAGGCUCUGAAAAUAAAUAUUGUGUGUUUUGAUAUUCAGUAACAUGUAAAAUAGGCCAUUAUAUGUAGU